AUUGAACGCUGGCGGCAUGCUUUACACAUGCAAGUCGAACGGUAACAGGCCGCAAGGUGCUGACGAGUGGCGAACGGGUGAGUAAUGCAUCGGAACGUGCCCAGUCGUGGGGGAUAACUACUCUAAAGAGUAGCUAAUACCGCAUACGAUCUAUGGAUGAAAGCGGGGGACCGUAAGGCCUCGCGCGAUUGGAGCGGCCGAUGUCAGAUUAGGUAGUUGGUGGGGUAAAGGCUCACCAAGCCAACGAUCUGUAGCUGGUCUGAGAGGACGACCAGCCACACUGGGAGUGAGACACGGCCCAGACGCCUACGGGAGGCAGCAGUGGGGAAUUUUGGACAAUGGGCGCAAGCCUGAUCCAGCAAUGCCGCGUGCAGGAAGAAGGCCUUCGGGUUGUAAACUGCUUUUGUACGGAACGAAACGGCUCUGGUUAAUACCCGGGGCUAAUGACGGUACCGGAAGAAUAAGCACCGGCUAACUACGUG
rnacentral:rRNA from 1 species